GUAAAGUCAGCUAAACAAGCUAUUGGGCCCAUACCCCGAAAAUGUUGACUCACCCCCUCCUUUACU
rnacentral:tRNA from 1 species